UUCUGAAACGCUCUCUCCCGAUUUCUUAGUCAACCUCGUUUCGGGCUCCCAAACCCCACCGCCGGCUACUCCUACCGCUUCUAACUUUUCGGGUUCUGACCCUGAAACUGCAGCUCCCAAGCGCCAGCGAAACGGGAUCGGGAUACUAGGUGCUCCUUUCAAAGUUUCGAAACGGAAGUCUCGUGCAACUAAGCGCUCUCAGACCACGUUCAUAACAGCUGAUCCGGCCAGCUUCAGGCAGAUGGUGCAACAGGUUACCGGCGUUAGAUUUGGUAACGCUCAGAUGCCUGCCAUACCAGUGCUGAAGCCGGAGCCACAGAGA
rnacentral:misc_RNA from 1 species